rnacentral:sRNA from 1 species
UGGACAUCAUGGCGACCAUGUCGUUGAC